rnacentral:lncRNA from 1 species
GGGCGGCCUAUUUCAAGGUGCACCCUCUGCCUCCUGGGCGGCCUAUUUCAAGGUGCACCCUCUGCCUCCUGGGCGGCCUAUUUCAAGGUGCUCGCUGCACAGAUGGGAGUGGUUUUCUGCAGUGGUCACGGAUGAACUCAAUAACACCCAAGUCACACGCUGCUCCACCCUUACAGUGGCCUCGUAUCACAAAAGAACGUGUAGGUUGCUUUGUGCUUUAAGAGAACAGCUGA